rnacentral:tRNA from 1 species
GGGCCCGUAGCUCAGCUGGUCAGAGCAGCGGACUCAUAAUCCGUUGGCCGGUGGUUCGAAUCCACCCGGGCCCA